CAGGGCUGUAGAAACUGAUUAGUACUUGGCAUUGUUGAGAGCUCUUUCUUGUUUAGCUUCGUCUUGACAUCACAUCAUAAUCCAAUUAUUCUCUCGCAUUUAAUUUUUGUCAGUUCAGUUCCCAGACGUGGUUAUCACAUUCUUCAUUCUACAUAUAGUUGGCACUGGAAAUGUUAAACAGAGAUGUCUUUGGGGUUGUGAAUUUAGGUAUUGAGUGAAAAAAACUAAAGAACUUAGAGCCAAUCCAAGAGGAAAUCAUUAUGCUUGGGAGCUCGUAUGAAAGGUUUCAGAACUGAGUCUAAAUUACAUGGGGAGUUGGAUGUUUGGCUGCAAUGCAAGAAACUAUGUUUCAGGACCAAAGUUGAGCAAAAUUGCUCAAGGAUGGUGGUAUAUAAAUAUCACCUUCUUCCAUUACAUGGCUGCAAUUAUAAAUCAACAGCAAUUGAUGACAAGACUUUGGCUCGGUGAUAUUUUUGUGGACAAUCAUGAGGAGAUAAAGUGUGGCAUUGUGCAUAUUUUCCAGUCCCCUUCUUUGGCCGAUGAGAGUAAGGAUGCUGUAGACCAGAACACUAUGACGAGGUGAUUCCUAUACUUAUAACUGAUGUCUAUCAUCAGACUUUAUCGGCUUGCCCGUCAUUACAGAAGGUUCAGGAGACUAUUUGACAUGGAUCCUCGCAGAACACAGGGC
rnacentral:lncRNA from 1 species